AGCAGCCGCGGUAAUUCCAGCUCCAAUAGCGUAUAUUAAAGUUGCUGCAGUUAAAAAGCUCGUAGUUGAAUUUCGGGACUAAUAUGUCGGUCGUGCCUCGGUACGUACUGGCAUCGUUGGUUUCUCCUUUCUGAAGAACCAUGAUGUCAUUUAUUUGGUGUCGUGGGGAAUCAGGACUGUUACUUUGAAAAAUUAGAGUGUUUAAAGCAGGCUCACGCUUGAAUACAUUAGCAUGGAAUAAUGAAAUAGGACGUUUGAUUCUAUUUUGCUGGUUUCUAGGAUUGACGUAAUGAUUAAUAGGGAUAGUUGGGGGCAUUAGUAUUCAAUUGUCAGAGGUGAAAUUCUUGGAUUUAUUGAAGACUAACUACUGCGAAAGCAUUUGCCAAGGAUGUUUUCAUUAAUCAAGAACGAAAGUUAGGGGAUCGAAGACGAUCAGAUACCGUCGUAGUCUUAACCAUAAACUAUGCCGACUAGGGAUCGGAUGAUGUUAAUUUUUAAUGA
rnacentral:rRNA from 1 species